rnacentral:rRNA from 1 species
CCUACGGGUGGCAGCAGUAGGGAAUAUUGCUCAAUGGGGGAAACCCUGAAGCAGCAACGCCGCGUGGAGGAUGAAGGUUUUCGGAUUGUAAACUCCUUUUGUUAGAGAAGAUAAUGACGGUAUCUAACGAAUAAGCACCGGCUAACUCCGGGCCAGCAGCCGCGGUAAUACGGAGGGUGCAAGCGUUACUCGGAAUCACUGGGCGUAAAGAGCGCGUAGGCGGGGUAGCAAGUCAGAUGUGAAAUCCUAGGGCUUAACCAUAGCACUGCAUUUGAAACUGUAAUUCUAGAGUAUGGGAGAGGUAGGUGGAAUUCUUGGUGUAGGGGUAAAAUCCGUAGAGAUCAGGAGGAAUACUCAUUGCGAAGGCGACCUGCUAGAACAUAACUGACGCUGAUGCGCGAAAGCGUGGGGAGCAAACAGGAUUAGAUACCCCGGUAGUC